CAACAAACUCAUACAACCGUGUGG
rnacentral:siRNA from 1 species